GGGGAUGUAGCUCAGUCGGUAGAGCAGGGACCUUGCAGGGGUACACGUUUCAACGUGCGUCUCGCCGGCCUGCCUGGUUUGUCCAAGGUCGCAGGUUCGAGUCCUGCCAUCCCGGCCA
rnacentral:tRNA from 1 species